GCCUGUCCCGCAGGCGUAAAAGGCGCGGGAGCCCAGGUGACGCGACCACCUAAAAAGCGUA
rnacentral:ncRNA from 1 species